GCUGGACAUGGUGGUGCAUGCCUGUAAUCCUAGCAGCUAGGGAUGCUGAGGCAGGAGGAUUGCAAGUUCAAAGCCAGCCUCAGCAAAAGUGAGGCGCUAAGCAACUCAGUGAGACCCUGUCUCUA
rnacentral:sRNA from 1 species